ensembl:lncRNA
CCCACCACCAUGGACCAGACACCAGCACCCACCACCAUGGACCAGACACCACCACCCACCACCCCAGAACCAGACACAACCACCCCCACCACCAUGGACCAGACACCACCACCCACCACCAUGGACCAGACACCACCACCCACCACCAUGGACCAGACACCACCACCCACCACCAUGGACCAGACACCACCCCCACCACCAUGGACCAGACACCACCACCCCCACCACCAUGGACCAGACACCACCACCCACCACCCAGGACCAGACACCACCACCCCCCACCACCAUGGACCAGACACCACCACCCACCACCAUGGACCAGACACCACCACCCUUCCAGCCCAGGACCAGACAAGACACAAUAUGGUUGGUGCAACCAAAUCAAAAAAAGAAUUGUUAUAAAACUGUUGCAGACUGUUUUGUGGCGAUAAGUAAAGUGUCUGGGGCUGGUAGGUACCUGUGUUUUAUGGAGGAGUCAUGCCGGUGGACGGUGGGCCGGGAUUGAAGCCGCGUUGGUGUUGAGCCCAGUCGUAGGACCCCCCGGGUGGGGCAGGGGUUUCUGACGCCUUAAUCAGAAAAGAUCUUUAUUAACUGUGGAUUGUUACACGUAUUAACAGAUUAAUAGAUAAUAAUAAAGAAAUAAGGAAAUAAUGAACACAAAAAUAAUUCAUGAAAUCAAAUCACGAAAUUACCUUAUAAAUUAAUAAAGGAAGCACACCGAAGGAUUGAUACAAAUAAUCAAUGGGCUUUAUCCUUACUGUUUGAGAGGGCUUGGCUUGAUCUGACAUCUCCUUCUGUUCAUUGCUGGGCUUGGAUUUGAACCAUCUACUGAACCAGCCUGCCUUGCUGCCCUGUGGGGAUAAAGAAUGAAACACUGACGCGCUGAGAGAACAUUUUGAAAAACCUUGUUUUAUCUAUUGUGGACGAAAAACUUGCUCCACUUCAAUUUGCUUACCAGUCAGGGAGAGGUGUUGAGGACGCAAAGCUUUUAAUACUCAAUAACUUGUACAAACAUUUAGAAAAGCCGCAAGCCCAUGUCAGGCUCUUGUUCGCAGACUUUUCAUCGGCAUUCAACACGAUGUAGCCGCAUCUUUUAAUAGAAAGGUUGCUAAGUGAUUUUAAAUUACUUCAUCAGAUUGCAUUAUGGAUUUGUGCAGUGUGCAGAGAGUGUCUGUAAAUGUCCGUUUCUCAGAUUCUCUAAUUAUGUCCACAGGCUCGCCACAAGGGUGUGUCCUUUCGCCCUUACUCUUUAUUAUGUAUACUGACGGAUGCAGGAGUAGUCAGGGCGGCAGCAGCUAUUUGGUCAAAUUUUCUGACGAUACCGCGUUACUGUCCCUUCUCCAAGGCUCAGAAUCAGACCACAGGAAUGCUCUCACUGAUUUUAUUUCUUGGUGUGAUGAUAACUUCUUGGACUUAAAUGUUUCUAAAACCAAGGAACUGAUCAUUGAUUUUAGACGGAACAGAAAUACAGCCAAAGAGUGUAUCAUACAUAAGGAAAGUGUGGAAAUAGUUACAUCUUAUAAAUAUCAGGGUACUAUUUUCGAUGAUCACCUUAAGUUUGAUAUUAACACUGAGGCUAUUGUGAAGCGAGGGCAACAGAGAAUUCACCUUCUCCGCAAACUAAAUUUUCUGUAAGUCCUGUCAUCCUCUGUAGUUUUUAUCAAUCUUUUAUUGAGAGUCUCCUGAGCUUUUCUUUUAUCCGCCGGUUUCACAGCCUCACAGUAAAAGACAGAAACAGCCUGAACAGUAUUGUCAACAUCUGUUCUAAGAUCACCGGAGUUAAACAAAGGGACUUGAGUUAUUUUUUUGCAAUCGGCAAAUCAUUAAGAAAGCAGCCGGUAUUUUGGCUUCUUCUGGUCAUGUUCUUAAAAGUGAAUUCUCUCUAUUGCCAUCAGGGCGUCGCUACGCUUUACCUGCUUGCAGAACAAACCGCCAUUCCAAGUCGUUCAUCCCCUCUGCAAUUCGACUACUAAACGCUCCGUAUGUGUAUUUGUUGUUUGUAUGUUAGUGUCUGUAUUCAAGCUGAUCAAACUAAUUGCCCCUAGUGGGAUUAAUAAAGUUGUCUUGUAUUGUAUUACAUUCGAUUUAUCAAAGUGACAUAACAAUAGAGAGGGGUGUGGACUGGGGGCGUGGCUUACAGUAUGUGGCUGCAUGUUUGUCAGUGUGUUGUGCCCUUGUGAAACAGAUCAUUAAAUCAUCACUCACAUCUGGUUGUUUGGUGUCGGCUGGUUCUGUAGCCGUCUCCUCUGCAGUCGUUGCCUGUGGAACCUCAGGCCACGUCUCGUCCCUGUUGCCGUUCACCUGAAACCCCACUUCAAAUUAGACAAGCACCCCAUCACAAUCAAUCGUGCGCUGGGUCCCUUCUCAACAUCUAUACAGACAAUAAAACCCAAGGUCCAGAGAGUGAAGGUCCAACCUAAUAGGGGUUUUAUUGGUGGGGUUUGAGGGUUUGUUAUUGGUUCCAGGGUUAACGGUUCCUAUGGGUUUGGUUUAAGGGUUUGGUGGUCAGUUCUAGUUUGGGUAAGUAAGGGUCAGGGGUUUCUAUUGGUUGGGUUUUAGGGUUUGGUUUUCCGGUUCUAGGGUUGGAGUGAUGGUUAGGGGUUCCUAUGGGCUGGAUCUCAGGGUUAGGUUAUGUGGCUAGGCUAGGGGUGAAUAUCCUGUCACCUAUUUAGCCCCCUGAUGCGGACACCAAACCACUACACUGGGGAGAAUUUGCUCUACAGAGCAGCCAUCUCUUUGUGACUAUGCUCUUUCCUUCAGACAACAACCGUUUGGAAAGCCCAUCCCUCACCAAGUUUUCUCCGGAUACAUUCUCCAGAGGGUCCAUCGGCAGGAACCCUAUAAGAAAAACAAAGACAAUCUCACAAUGUCAAAUCCCUAUUGUCGCACAGAUCAACAUCAAAAACCCAAGAUUUGGGAUUUUCAGCAGUACAACAUUUGAUGGCUUUGUGACUGUAAGCAUUUCAACAUGCGUUAGCUUCGGGAAAGUAUCACGGUAUAUAUUACUGGUAUGUACUAGCAGUUAGCACCUGUGGACGGUGUGAUGACCUGGGCGGCAUUAGAGUGAUGAUAACCGAGCUGUUGGUCCACGGCGCCGCUAGCAGCUGGAGGUGGAGGAGCAAAGAGCUCGGGUUGAGGUGGAGGAGCAUAGAGCUCUGGUUGAGGUGGGGGAGCAUAGAGCUCUGGUUGAGGUGGGGGAGCGUGAGGAUAAGCUGGUGGUGGAGGAGCAUAGGGCUGUGCUGGAGGUGGAGGAGUGUAGGGCUGCGAUGGAGAAGGUGAAGCAUUAGCCUGGAACCUAGAGAGAGAGAGACCGGAACAGAGUGUUGUCAGUCAGAGUAGAGCAGUGCUAUGGCACAUAGUAUGGUAAUAAUAUGAAUAUGAAUAAUAUCUCAUAAUAUGAGUAAUAAUGGUAAUGAUAAUGGUAAAAUCAAAUUAGGAUUUGUAUAAUUAUUAUUAUUAAAAAAGACACCAAUAGUAAUAUAUUCUUGGAUAUAUAAAAAAAAAAUGUUAAAGGAUAUAUUUGCCAUGUUAGAGCCAACUACAUAUAAUAUCUGUAUAUAGAAAUAGUAGAUCAUUGAGAAAAUUGUAUUUAUUAUAGUUGAUGGUUACUAUGGUAACAUGGAUGGUGUGAGAACUUGAAAGGCUAUUUGGACAGCCCAGGUCCUGUGACCCAUAUCAAGGCGUUUACCCCGGGUCCUGAGGCUCCCACUCGUCUGUGGGUGGUUGCAUGGCUCCACCAGCCCGGCCUGUGGUCUCUGCUCCUCCUUCCCCUCCUUCUGUCCCUCGCUCAUAGCGGGGAUAAGCCUCUGGGAAGACAACCAAAAAUGGGGUGGCUUAAUUAGCUUUAGGUGAUAACAGCUGAAUGUUAUCACCUUAAUAACGUCAUGUUGGACGUCGUUAAUCGUUACCUGGUGGUGUACCUGUGUCCUGAUUGGCCCGGGUGCUCCCAUCAACUGGGGGCAGAUAGGCUCCCAUGCUGUCAGAAUUUCCCGUCUUUGGAGAAUCACAGGAGAAUGUGAGUCAGCAUGUUAUUUAACACAAGAGGGUCAUUGGAUGAAAUCAAUAUCAAUUAAUAUUGUAUAUCUAUAGCUAACUUUUAAUUGAUUGUGGUAAAAGCAUUAUGAUCUUGUAAAGCUUAAAUAGUUACUACUAACAAACCAAUUGUAAUUACCACCAUAAUGACCAAGAUUAAACAUGGAUAUAAUAUAGUAUUAUGCAAUACAACUGUGGCAUACUAGACUACAAUAUGGACAAGUAUAGAAUAGACUACAAUAGAAGAGGAGAUUAUUGUCCUGAACCCAAACAGAACAAAUGUAGGAUAGACUAGAAUAGAAUAGAAUAGAAUAGAAUAGAAGCCAGCCAAGGCUCGAAAACUUAUAUGAUAACAAAUGUUUUUAAUAAUAUUUAGAAUAAAUUGUGAAGAAAGAGAGAGAGACAGAGAGAGAGAGAGAGAGAGAGAGAGAGAGAGAGAGAGAGAGAGAGAGAGAGAGAGAGAGAGAGAGAGAGAGAGGCAGAG